rnacentral:rRNA from 1 species
UAGGGAAUCUCCUGCAAUGGGGGCAACCCUGACCGAGCAACGCCGCGUGAGUGAAGAAGGUUUUCGGAUCGUAAAGCUCUGUUGUAAGUCAAGAACGAGUGUGAGAGUGGAAAGUUCACACUGUGACGGUAGCUUACCAGAAAGGGACGGCUAACUACGUGCCAGCAGCCGCGGUAAUACGUAGGUCCCGAGCGUUGUCCGGAUUUAUUGGGCGUAAAGCGAGCGCAGGCGGUUUGAUAAGUCUGAAGUUAAAGGCUGUGGCUCAACCAUAGUUCGCUUUGGAAACUGUCAAACUUGAGUGCAGAAGGGGAGAGUGGAAUUCCAUGUGUAGCGGUGAAAUGCGUAGAUAUAUGGAGGAACACCGGUGGCGAAAGCGGCUCUCUGGUCUGUAACUGACGCUGAGGCUCGAAAGCGUGGGGAGCGAGCAGGAUUAGAUACCCUGGUAGUCCACGCCGUAAACGAUGAGUGCUAGGUGUUGGAUCCUUUCCGGGAUUCAGUGCCGCAGCUAACGCAUUAAGCACUCCGCCUGGGGAGUACGACCGCAAGGUUG